UCCUACUUUGAGGAGGAAGAGGUGGCUUCACUAAAGUACCAGCCGCAGGAGAGCCCGGGCAGGCAACACUGUGACUCCAUUCCAAAGACGGGAAAAGCUGCAUGAUCCAGAGUGGCUGCUCUACACACUUAUGCAAACCUUCCAGGAGAGAAAACCAUACCAGGAGGUACGGACGCGCUGUUCAUGAAAAACUCACCAACAUCCACAAACCAGCCCUAGGCCCGGGCCUCGCAGUGCAACACAACUUUCUUUAAGCAUGCUGUGUGAAAGAUUUGAAAGGUGUACGUGUAGCUGAAUGAUAGCAAUGAUAAGAAACGGACCUAAAC